ACCCCAUAAAUAAAGUUUUGAACUUUUUUUAGAA
rnacentral:tRNA from 1 species